UGUGGGCAGUCACACUUGAGACCAGCAAAGUUGAUCAUUUACUGUGUUUUGUAUAUCGUUGUUUUAAGGUUUGUGAAGAACAAUGGCAUCAAUGAAGGCUGCAAAACCUGUUGGGACUCAACUUUUUGGGCAAGUGAAGAAGGAGCCUGCUAGUGCCAAGACUAGUGAUGGUGCAUCCAAGACUUCUUCAGCCUCUAAGUCUGCUUCCAAGAAGUUGCCCAAAAGACUGCUGAACCUAAGAGGAAGGCAAUGGGUGGGAAAUCAGCAGCUAAGCGUUGAGAAAUCGGCAUUUUGAAUAAAAGGAUAUAUCUUAAAGAUCUUCUUAUAUAUGGAUCUAAAUCCAUAUUUCCCUUUUGAUGUUGUUUUUUUUUCAUUCAGGCUGUGGCCAAACAGUACUUGAUAUCUCCUUGUAAGUUAGGUUGUUGCUUGGCUUGGCCUAAGAAAUAAAACUAGGUAUUUGAAAAAUGAGAAAUCUCUGCUUGAUUCAUUUA